CAGACUAUGCGGUAGCGGAAACGAUAUAGUUUACGAGGAAAGUCCGGGCAUCACAGAGCAGGGUAGCUGCUAACGGCAGCCGAGGGCGACCUUAGGGCAAGUGCAACAGAGAUAUACUGCCGCCUAUACGGCGGUGAUGGUGGAAAGGCGAGGUAAGAGCUCACCAGAGCGCUGGAGACAGCGCUGCUAUGUAAACCCUAUCCGAUGCAACGUCUAUUGGUGCCUGUUAUCUCAACGUCGGCUCGGCGGAUAACAGGUAAUGACGGCUUCAGCUUAUCGGCGACGGUAAGCGUAGAUAAAUUACCGCACACGACAGAACCCGGCUUAUCGGUCUGGUCA
rnacentral:RNase_P_RNA from 1 species